rnacentral:tRNA from 1 species
GCGGGCGUGACGUAAUGCAGACGUGCCGGCCUGAGUAGUCGGUGUCCUUCGGGGCGUGCGGGUUCAAGUCCCGCCGUGCGCA